AGAUUCAGAUUAUUCGCAGCGUCCAGCUAUCAUGGUGGUUGGUGGUGACUUUUCAACAAAAUUACUUCAAGAAAUCAUUUGCCAGCUAGUUUCGUCAGGAAAGAAAGAAACGCUGUUUUUUCUUAGCUUGUCAGUGAAGACUGUCUAUUAGUCGCAUCUGUGCCUGACAUCAGCUAAGCAGCUUAUGUGUCACCCAAUCUAUGUUGACCUGGCGUCACAGCACACAGAUGAGAAGUGGCCUCUUUUUCUCAUGAUCACAGGAAUCAAUCUGGUAUUCAGAUUCGCUCCAAGUCACCAGCAGAAACAAGCCGUCUACUUGAGGAAGACUUACUCUUAUAAUGUUAAUGAUUUGAAACAAUAAAGAAUUAAAUUACUAUCCAA